rnacentral:misc_RNA from 1 species
GAUGAAGAACGUAGUGAAAUGCGAUACGUAAUGUGAAUUGCAAAUUCAGUGAAUCAUCGAGUCUUUGAACGCACAUUGCGCCCCCUGGUAUUCCGGGGGGCAUGCCUGUCCGAGCGUCAUUGCUGCCCUCAAGCCCGGCUUGUGUGUUGGGCCCCGUCCUCCGAUUCCGGGGGACGGGCCCGAAAGGCAGCGGCGGCACCGCGUCCGGUCCUCGAGCGUAUGGGGCUUUGUCACCCGCUCUGUAGGCCCGGCCGGCGCUUGCCGAUCAACCCAAAUUUUUAUCCAGGUUGACCUCGGAUCAGGUAGGGAUACCCGCUGAACUUAAGCAUAUCAAUAAGCGGAGGA